rnacentral:rRNA from 1 species
UGUAGUCAUAUGCUUGUCUCAAAGAUUAAGCCAUGCAUGUCUAAGUAUAAGCAAUUAUACAGCGAAACUGCGAAUGGCUCAUUAUAUAAGUUAUCGUUUAUUUGAUAGUACCUUACUACUUGGAUAACCGUGGUAAUUCUAGAGCUAAUACAUGCUAAAAAUCCCGACUUCGGAAGGGAUGUAUUUAUUAGAUUAAAAACCAAUGCCCUCUGGGCUCCUUGGUGAUUCAUGAUAACUUCUCGAAUCGCAUGGCCUUGCGCCGGCGAUGGUUCAUUCAAAUUUCUUCCCUAUCAACUUUCGAUGUUUGGGUAGUGGCCAAACAUGGUUGCAACGGGUAACGGAGGGUUAGGGCUCGACCCCGGAGAAGGAGCCUGAGAAACGGCUACUACAUCCAAGGAAGGCAGCAGGCGCGCAAAUUACCCAAUCCCGAUUCGGGGAGGUAGUGACAAUAAAUACUGAUACAGGGCUCUUUUGGGUCUUGUAAUUGGAAUGAGUACAAUUUAAAUCCCUUAACGAGGAACAAUUGGAGGGCAAGUCUGGUGCCAGCAGCCGCGGUAAUUCCAGCUCCAAUAGCGUAUAUUAAAGUUGUUGUGGUUAAAAAGCUCGUAGUUGAACCUUGGGCCUGGCUGGCCGGUCCGCCUCACCGCGUGUACUGGUCCGGCCGGGCCUUUCCCUCUGUGGAACCCCAUGCCCUUCACUGGGUGUGGCGGGGAAACAGGACUUUUACUUUGAAAAAAUUAGAGUGCUCCAGGCAGGCCUAUGCUCGAAUACAUUAGCAUGGAAUAAUAAAAUAGGACGUGCGGUUCUAUUUUGUUGGUUUCUAGGACCGCCGUAAUGAUUAAUAGGGACAGUCGGGGGCAUCAGUAUUCAAUUGUCAGAGGUGAAAUUCUUGGAUUUAUUGAAGACUAACUACUGCGAAAGCAUUUGCCAAGGAUGUUUUCAUUAAUCAGGAACGAAAGUUAGGGGAUCGAAGACGAUCAGAUACCGUCGUAGUCUUAACCAUAAACUAUGCCGACUAGGGAUCGGACGAUGUUAUUUUUUGACUCGUUCGGCACCUUACGAGAAAUCAAAGUGCUUGGGCUCCAGGGGGAGUAUGGUCGCAAGGCUGAAACUUAAAGGAAUUGACGGAAGA